rnacentral:sRNA from 1 species
CCUCGUCGAUCUGCUGCGGGCAGAUGAAGUGGAUGUGGCAGUCGAUGCCGCCCGCGGUGGCGAUCAGGCCUUCGCCCGCGAUCACCUCGGUGCCGGCGCCGAUCGGGAUCGUGACCGCGGGCUGGAUGUCCGGGUUGCCCGCCUUGCCGAUUUUCCAGACCUUGCCGUCCUUGAUGCCGAUAUCGGCCUUGACGAUGCCCCAGUGAUCGACAAUCAGAGCGUUGGUGAUCACGGUGUCGGCGACCCGGGCCGCGACCAGCUGCCCCUGCCCCAUGCCGUCGCGGA